rnacentral:lncRNA from 1 species
ACAUCAGUCAGGGCAGAGUCGACGUUGGUCAGGUCAAGUUUAAUAACACUUAAAAUUAGUUUUUUUGAAUAAUUUUAUUAUAUCUCUGUAUGCAAUGUUAGAAACUUCCUUGACAUCAAAGUUGAAGUCGAUCCUUCAAAAAACAAAAAAGUUAUUAGCAUUUUACAUCGGUCAGGACAUUAGUCACGGGAGGACGUAGUUGGUCAGGUCAAGUUUUCUAACUCUUGAAAAUAUUUUUUUUUCUUUUUUUCUAAUAUUUUUGUAUUUAAUGUUUUAUUCUUCCUUGGUAUCGA